UUGCUUAGGCUUCUGACUUAACCUGUUGAGGUGACUGGAGCAGUUUUCUCUCAGAAUGUAGUGCUUCAGAUUGUCUGCAGACUCAGUAAGACAACACUGCAUCCUUUACAGUUGUUUUGUUUUCAGGAUGUUCUUUGCAACUAUGAAGUCUAGAAAUAAAUAUUUUUAAAAAUGGAAGUUUAGAUUCUGGAACACAAUUCUGCUGUGGGUUCCACAGCAAAUUCCAAAGCCAAAAAUCAUCACAUAAUAAAUGGGGAACUGCUGGUUAUGCCUAGUUGGGGAGUUAACUACCUGAUGGAUGUUGCUAUCUAGUUAAACAGCAGUGCAAGGAUGCAGUGACACUGGCUCAGAAGAAGUAGUUCCCUCCCUACACAUGGAAACAAACACCUGGAUAGCAUAGGAGUGGGGUGGUAGCAUUUUUUUUUUAGUCUGCUAUUAUUGAAUGCCAACUGAGUAGGGCAGCAGCAUAAUACAAAAGGACUCUCUCAUUACCUGAAUGGGUGAGAACCACCAGCAGCUGUUUGUAUUAAAGCCCCUAAGCUGAAGAAAGAAUAUUCUGCUGAGCUGUGCUGGCUUGAAAAGGGAUGCCACAAGUAUUUUUUUUUUUUGUCACUGCAUUAGCAUGGCAUGGGUAACAAAUGACAGCUGAGCUUCACUGUUCUUUUGGGUGAUGGAAUCUUGAGCAGAACUCUGGAGAGAAACAUCUUGACUGGUUGAGACUCAUCUGUGAUGGAGAGAAAAAACAAAUCCGUUCUUGUCAGAAAAAAUUCCUGAUCAUGUGUUUCUCAUCAAAAACCAGCAAUUACAUCCUAUGACCUUGGAUCAUAAUUGUAACACCCACCAGAUAGGAUUUAUAUUGGUGCCACACAGCUGGAACACUUAGCUCUCACAAUGGGCUUUUCUCACCCAAAUAGCUUUUCCUGCGGAUGCCUCAGACUCUGAAGGGCCAAUGGCCACCCACUGUGAGUUAUCAAAAUGUGAAUUUCCACAAACAGAGGCUGUGGGCUUUGUUUGGGACAUUAAAAUUCCAUGUACAUGGCAGAGGAUGUAAAAGGAUCUCUGAAACAUCUUCAUUUUGUCAUUUCCUGCUUCAUUUCUCUGAACUGGAUUUCUAAAAAGGAAGCUUUAGACAAGAACUGAUGACCCCCAAUAUGUUUGGGUAAUUCCAGAGAGACUUUUGUAAGAUAGCAGUUUAUUCCAUCACUGCUAUGAUCCUGAUAUAUGAACACUUUGAAUUCCCUUGUAUGU